UUGAAACAACACAUCUAGAGACUCCCUAUUAGAAGUAGUCAGAUCCUGAAAUUCCAGAGCUCCAAAGGAAUCAGGAAUGAAUGCAGCAAAUUCCACUGUUAUCUACUGAGACAGAUGUUUAAAAGUGUCCAUAUAUACGAAUAUGUAUAGCAGGAUCGGAUGCUCCAGAUUACCACCUCAUCAAACCUGCCAUCCUCACAGCACCUGGAGCCACCACAUACCCUGAAAUAAAACCUGCCUUUCAUCAGGAAAUCCAGCCAGAUGGGAGGAUACUGACAGAAUCACGAGCUCCAGACAACUGUGGUUGUCACUGCCAUACAAAAGACCUUGCUCCAACGUGCUUUCUGCUGUGACUUUCCACUGAGAGCAAACCACGUAUAAGCACCACAGCUGCUGUAUCCGCGUCCAUUCGGUUUAGUGGUCUUUGUGCCAGAGCUCUUGGCGUCAUGUCAGCCCCAAGAGGAACUGGCUGUGCCUGCAAGUUUCUUUACAGAUAAAUAACCUGCUUUGCUGUUGCUGCUGUUAAUACAGAGGAAUUGGGAGUUUCAUUCUGUUCUCAAAAAAGCUGAUUUUGCAUGCAAAAGCACAAAAGCCAAGAACAGAUACGGAAAAUAACUACUGAAGAGACUUGAUCACCGUCUGUUGCAGUUUUUCUUUGUAGGUUUAGCUACUACAGCACCUACCUGCAAUGUGAACUGUUGGUGUAUACAGUUUCAGGAAUUAAAAAAAUGGACAUAUUGCAAAGUCUCAGGUUUCUAAUGAACAUUUUAAUUCCCAGAUUUUCUCUGAACUCGCAGCGUUUAGAGCAAAGCAGACUGACCACUGGUGUCAGCUUGAUGUAAGCUAAGCACAGGACUACCUACAUAGAAGGAACUGCAAACUCCACCUCAAAAUAUUUCUUUCAGAGCACUCCCUUAGCAGACUAAAACCCAUUUAAACUUAAAUACUUGGUUCUUCAGCCAGAAUAAAAAUACAGCUUUAAUGAAUAGGGCCAAAAAAGAAGUUUCUCUUGAUGUUUCUCCCAGAAAACUUUUCUGUUUUCAGCUAGCCAUAGCACUCAAGGGUAAAAAAGAAUCUGUCAGAACAGGAACACAGCAACCUUCUACCUUGUUUUUGCACGGCUUACCAGAAGGUAAGGUUGAAAUAAUUUCUGCUUGUUCUGCUUUUAUCCUUUUCGUUAUUAUAUGCUAACUGCUGCAGCACACCUUUUUAAAACACUCCUAAACAAAGCGAGAGGUUCUUUUAAGAACAGUAGAGGCCCCAGGAAUGCCACACACACAGCCCAGCAGGUCCCCUGUUGUAGCUGACCCGCAGGCUGGACUCACUGCCAGCGGCACGCUGCGCAGAGACCCGUGAACCUGUGGGAUCCGGAGACAGGCUGAGCUCCUCCGGCCCAUGCCUGAAGUUAGCACUGCUGAGAUGCUGAUAAAGAAGUAGUCAGACAUCUUCACCAGCAAAAUCCUUAAAGAUUGUUUUAAUAGUGUUCUGUGUAUUGCUAAAGGGCAAGUUCUAAGCCAAAAGUUAAGGGUUUCCUACUUGAUGCUCUUUAGACUUUGAGACAAGCAUUUCAGUAUCAGUAGCUUCUCGCAUGGAUAUACUUUUCCAUCUCUCUCUUGCAAAAUGCAACCCAAAAAGGCAAAAUCUUCAGCAGCGGCAUAUGUGCCUCAUUUUCAAUAGCUCUGUCAGCUUUGUCUCAAAGAAGCUGAAGUACAGUUUACAUGUCUCCCUCCUGAAAUCCAACAACUGAUGGAAACAAUACAGGACAAUAUGAAAGUGCCAGUGAAGCAUCUGUAACUACUUAAAAACAACAGAACAAGCAGAAAGUCAUUAGUAAGGCUUCUGAAACCCACAAAUUAAGUUAUAUAUUUCUCCGCUGAGGAAACCGGGAGAUUGAGCAUCACAAACUAUUCCAGAGGAAAAGACCAUCUGGGUAGAAUUUUGAAAAUCACAGCAAGUGCAUUAGCAUGGACUGGGUGUUUGGCCAGAGGGAGCUUACCAAAAACUGAAGGCCUCAGGGGGCUCAGCAGACAGUGACCUGGAGGCUGAGCUCAGAAAAAACCACAAACUGAAAUGAAACUCUUUGUAGCAGCCAAAAGAAGCUUGGUUUUGGUUGAAUAACACCAGCAUGUUUUUUGUGUCCUUAAUUAAAAGUAUCUCAAUGAAGCACUUAAAAAAUUAAAUAUUUUGAAACCUAAAAAAGAUAGUAACAUUUUAUGGGAUAAAAGGUUUAGAGAGAUUUCAGUUUAGUCGUUGUCUCAUUCUGAUUAUUUUAGCCUAGAAAUGAAUAAAAUACAGCUAUUCAUACCAUGCAGCACAGGAAACUGGUUUUCAUACCUUUCCUACAUACACAGUCAGUGGACAGAAGGUAAAUCAAGGCACCUAAAUCAGGCCUGGGAGAAAAACACUCCCUUUCCUUGGAGUUGCAUGCCUAAGGUUGGGCUCUCUAAAUAUUCUUCUAGAUGUCCGCCAUCAGAAACUUGCAAGGAAUGAAAGCUCUGCUUUCUGAUCUGCUUUAGUCACCGCAGGGCUUAAAUUUUGGGAUUAGCAGACUUCUCAGAAUAGGCAGGCAGGGAUCCAGUCAAGCUGUAGAUAAUCAGAAACUGCACCUUAGAUUUCAGCUACAAAAAGCCUCCCAGUAGCACAGGACUCUCACUAGACUUAAGACAAGUUACUACCCCAUUCUCAGAGCAGUGCAAGUGCACACCUGCCACCAGAGAGUGAAGGACAAGGCCACCAUUCCAACAUUGCAGACAAGCUUUUUAUUAUGAAAACAUCUGCACAAAUCUGUUAGCCCCUGCACAUUUGUCAUCAUUCCUUAGCGGGUAAUCAAGAUCAAGCCUUUCAUUUUCAGCUCACAGUCCAAUUAACAACAGAGAGAUAUAUAAAAUAAAAGCCUAUUUUAAGAGCUGAUUUUUAAAGAUGGAUAUUUAUCAUUUUGUUCGCACAGUAAAUGGUUUGGUUAGGUUUAAUUCAUGUUUAUUAAAGUCCAUAAAAGUUGCUGUAUGAGAGACAAAUGCAAUUACCUUUACUAUGGGAAUAAAUGUAUAACGAAAUCCUAGCUUUCCCUCUUUAAAAUAACACACUUCACAAUAAGUACAGAUUUUGGCAAAGCAAUGUUCCCCUGCCACGCAGCACAUGUUUAAUGAAGCUACUCCUCAGCUGUUUGUUGCUGAACUGAGCACUCCCGGUCCAUUAAAGUGGAAGCCUCCACCGAAGGAAAACACUUCACAGUUUCAAUCUAAAAGUAUGUCAGCUUAUCGAAACGACAAUCAUUCUGUCUUUUCACAAAGCAAUUAGAGCAGAAAGCAAUCACAGAAAGGAAUUAAGAGGGAUUUCUGGUCAGAUCUCCCAUCAGGAUCACUCAGACCAGAUGGAUUCAUACAACCUCAGAUCUCUCCCUUUGCCUUGUCACAUCCUGGCCUGCAACUGCUUUGGCACGGGCAUCCUGAAAGAAUGCCAAUGGUACUUGCAUGCACUGUAAUUAAUAAGCAAGGUUUUAAUUUACCUAUUAAAAAUUACAUUCUAGGAAGCUAAUGAAAAGCCAUCUUAUUAACAAAACAAAGUAUUUUCUCUGGCCUCGAUAAAUGACCCCAAUAUUACACAGUCCACCCAAACUCAGAAGGGAAGAUUUUUUUGGUUUCAGAAAAAAAAAUCAAGACUUUUUGCAUGGAAAACCAUGUCACUGGAACAGUAUGCGCUGCAAAAUGGAGCUUUAAUAGCCAAUAAAGAUAGAAAGAGGUAGUGCUUGCUACCUCAUCGCUAGCAGGUUUUCAAAUUAUGGAAUUCAUCCGUCACACUCCACUUAGCAUAUCUGUAUCACUUCACCAAGUAAUGCCACCAUCAGAUAGUUAUUUUAAUAGUGAACAGGUAAAUGAAUAGUGUAAAGGGUAAUAGAAUGGAGGAAAAAGAGACAAGACCAUUAAGUCAAGUCCUUUUUUUUGCUUUUUCUCUGACACUGAAGAGUGAAGAUUCCUCUUUAACUCGCUUUAAACUGGGAGGAAUGUAAAAAAAAAAAAAAAAAAAAAGCAGAUGUAUUUAACCAGGCAAUUUACUUAAUACAAGAGAAAUCUUCAAGCUUAUUUCAGGAGCAGAUCUCUAGAGAUGCUUGCAUUUCUCAAGGGUAAAUAGACACAAAGAACUUUACUGCAUGCAUGGAUAAAUUAUUUACACAAAGCAAACUGGUCCAAACUUAAGAGUGACUUGAGACUUGUCCCUAAAAAUUUAAAGCCUCCAUCUUUACAGUCUUUGUUCUCCACAGCAGCUGGUAAGCUGUGGUCCUCGGUCAAGCAGUCCUCAAGGUCCAGGCUGCAAAGCGUGCAGCUCUCUUGAGCAGGCUGGCUGUGCCCACGCUGCCUCCUGAGUGGGCUGUACGGAGCAGUGAGAGAUACACCGCAGUCCUUCGAGCCUCCACAGCAGAGGCAGUGGUUGAACAUGCAAACUGCCAAGAGCCUCAGGCAAUUCUCCAAAUGUGCAUCCACG